rnacentral:tRNA from 1 species
AUUUAUAUAGUAUAAUUAGUAUUUUUGACUUCCAAUCUUAAGGUUUAAUUUUAAAUUAAUAUAAAUA